rnacentral:rRNA from 1 species
UACGUAGGGUGCGAGCGUUAAUCGGAAUUACUGGGCGUAAAGCGUGCGUAGGUGGUUCGUUAAGUCUGAUGUGAAAGCCCUGGGCUCAACCUGGGAAUGGCAUUGGAAACUGGCGAUCUAGAGUGCGGUAGAGGGUAGUGGAAUUCCCGGUGUAGCAGUGAAAUGCGUAGAGAUCGGGAGGAACAUCUGUGGCGAAGGCGACUGCCUGGACCAGCACUGACACUGAGGCACGAAAGCGUGGGGAGCAAACAGG